rnacentral:rRNA from 1 species
GCUAAUACAUGCAAGUCGAGCGGACAGAUGGGAGCUUGCUCCCUGAUGUUAGCGGCGGACGGGUGAGUAACACGUGGGUAACCUGCCUGUAAGACUGGGAUAACUCCGGGAAACCGGGGCUAAUACCGGAUGGUUGUUUGAACCGCAUGGUUCAAACAUAAAAGGUGGCUUCGGCUACCACUUACAGAUGGACCCGCGGCGCAUUAGCUAGUUGGUGAGGUAAUGGCUCACCAAGGCAACGAUGCGUAGCCGACCUGAGAGGGUGAUCGGCCACACUGGGACUGAGACACGGCCCAGACUCCUACGGGAGGCAGCAGUAGGGAAUCUUCCGCAAUGGACGAAAGUCUGACGGAGCAACGCCGCGUGAGUGAUGAAGGUUUUCGGAUCGUAAAGCUCUGUUGUUAGGGAAGAACAAGUACCGUUCGAAUAGGGCGGUACCUUGACGGUACCUAACCAGAAAGCCACGGCUAACUACGUGCCAGCAGCCGCGGUAAUACGUAGGUGGCAAGCGUUGUCCGGAAUUAUUGGGCGUAAAGGGCUCGCAGGCGGUUUCUUAAGUCUGAUGUGAAAGCCCCCGGCUCAACCGGGGAGGGUCAUUGGAAACUGGGGAACUUGAGUGCAGAAGAGGAGAGUGGAAUUCCACGUGUAGCGGUGAAAUGCGUAGAGAUGUGGAGGAACACCAGUGGCGAAGGCGACUCUCUGGUCUGUAACUGACGCUGAGGAGCGAAAGCGUGAGGAGCGAACAGGAUUA